rnacentral:rRNA from 1 species
GAAUAUUGGACAAUGGGCGAAAGCCUGAUCCAGCGAUGCCGCGUGUGUGAAGAAGGCCUGCGGGUUGUAAAGCACUUUCAGUAGGGAAGAAAACCCAAGCGCUAAUACCGCUCGGUCUUGACGUUACCUACAGAAGAAGCACCGGCUAACUCCGUGCCAGCAGCCGCGGUAAUACGGAGGGUGCGAGCGUUAAUCGGAAUUACUGGGCGUAAAGCGCGCGUAGGUGGUUUGAUAAGUCGGAUGUGAAAGCCCUGGGCUCAACCUGGGAAUUGCAUUCGAUACUGUCUGACUUGAGUAUGGUAGAGGGAAGCGGAAUUCCCGGUGUAGCGGUGAAAUGCGUAGAUAUCGGGAGGAACAUCAGUGGCGAAGGCGGCUUCCUGGACCAAUACUGACACUGAGGCGCGAAAGCGUGGGGAGCAAACAGG